UAUUAAACGCAAACAUGACGAAAUCAAAAUGGCAAAGAAGAACAUAAUUAACAUUUCCAACAAAAAGCUAAACGAUAUAGAGUACAAACUUUUAGGAAAAGGAUUGUCAUUUUGUCCAAAUCCCAAACCCGCUAACCAAAAUAUUUUAGCGGGUGAUAUAUUCAAAUUCUGUAGACGUUUACGGUUAAUAGAAUAUUUCGGCAAACAAACAUAUUACUAAUGAUAAUGAUGCUAAUAAUGAUGACAAAUACAAACUAUUAUUUUCCAAGUUUAGGCCACAUUCAAGUUGGACACCACCUCCCGGAAGAGACCAAUGUCUUGACAUCUUCAUACACAUUAUAACACAAAGCAUAUUGAAAGAAAAUAACAAAAAGAAACAUUUUGGAAAUAUAUCAAAAAGUGAAAGGAAGGCUCUAAGGAAACUAAUAAUGGAUGACUCAAUAGUCAUAAAAAAGCCGACAAAAGUUCUACCAUUGUAAUUAUGAACAAAGACAGUUAUAUUGCAGAAGUCAAGAGACAGCUAUCAGACAAACGAUUUUGCAACAAAAACAAACAGAAACAGACUUAACUGAGGCUCAUAUAAAAACUGUUAGCAAAAUAAUACAUCAAAUGCGCAAUAAUCAAGAAAUUACAGAGGAUGUAUUUAAAUGUUUAAAACAUGAGGAACGUCAGACUCCACAGUUCUACAUUUUACCUAAAGUACACAAAACUGUUAAUAAAGAUCUCCCUCUGGGAUAUCCAGGACGCCCAAUCAUAUCCGGAUGUAAUUCACCAACAGAACGUAUUUCGUGUCUCAUAGAUGACAUUCUGAAGCCACACGUCGAAAAAUUAGACUCAUAUGUACGUGACACAUCGGCCUUUCUUACAAAAUUGCGUAAUAUACCAAAUGUAUCCAAAGAAUCAUUCCUCGUAACUAUGGACGUUUCAUCUUUAUAUACAAACAUUCCUCACAACGAAGGGAAAGAACUCUAACUGGUGAUAAUUACAACUCCAACAUACCCAUUAAAACAAUUAGUAAACUAGUUGCAACAAUAUUAGAAUCAAAUAAUUUUCAAUUUAAUGGUGAAAACUUUAUCUAAAUACAAGGCACUGCAAUGGGUACAAGAAUGACCCCUAGUUAUGCUAAUUUAUUUAUGGGUUGUUUUGAAAAUGUUCUGCUGAGCAAAUGUGUUAGAUAGCCGCUACUGUGGCUUAGAUAUAUAGAUGAAAUAUGUUUUAUUUGGGACCAUUCUGAACAAGAUCUUAAUAAAUUCAUUGAAUCUGCCAAUCAACAGCACCCUACCAUUCAAUUUACAUACACAUAUUCAAGGAAUAAAGUUACAUUUUUAGAUGUCGAUGUCAUUAAAACAGAUAGUGGGUCUUUUUCAUCAACUGUUCACACAAAAGUAACAAACACACACCAAUAUUUACAUUUCAAAUCAGCUCACCCCAAGGCAUGUAAAAAAGGAAUUCUUUUCAGUCAAGCUAAAAGGUACACCAGAAUCAUUUCAAACAGUGACACGUUACAAACUGAACUAAAUAGUUUGAAAAAACACUUCUUGAAUAGACUUUACCCUCCUGCCAUUGUAAAUAAUGCUAUAGAAAAAACAUUAAUUGGACCCAAAGAAAAACAUAUCGAAUCUCCUGCAUCUACGUCUGAACAAGAAACAAUGAUACCUUUUGUCGUAACAUACAACCCAUGCCUACCAAAUAUUGGCCAUAUAUUACACAGAUAUUGGGGAAUUCUCGAACAGUCAAGUAAACUCAACAUACUAGCACAAAGUAAACCAAUUGUUGCUUUUAAAAGACCACAUAAUCUUAAAGAUAUGCUUGUUCAUUCUAAACUACAAUCUAAUGAUGAUAAUAAAAAGCACUCUGCAUUAAAAUGUGGUAAAAGUAAAUGUAAAAAUUACAAAUUCCUUUAAGAAAAAACGCACUUUGAAAGCAGUCAAACUGGACGCAUUUAUCCCAUAAAACAUACUAUGACAUGCUGUUCUUCAAACGUGAUUUAUCUUAUCACUUGCACAAAAUGUAGUAUGCAAUAUGUAGGACAAACAGGGGAUAAGCUGUCUUUACGUAUGAAUGGACAUCGUAGCGACAUCAAUUUAUAUCCUAGCAAAUCUACGUUGGUUAAUACCCACUUUAAUACGAAUUAUCAUUCCAUAUCUAACUUUUCUUUUAUGCCUAUUGAACAAGUAUUUAGCAAUGAUGAACAUCAUCGACUAGUUAGAGAAACUUUUUGGAUACACGAAAUGAGAACCAAAACGCCACAUGGACUUAAUGAUAACGUUAUAUUUCAUGUAAACACAUCUUAGGCAUUCAGUAACGUUAUAAAUAUCCAAUGCAGUACAGUGACAUUACUUUGUGUUUCCAUGUUCUAUAAUUAAUUAAAUAAUCUUGUCUUUAUAGCAAUUUAACAAAAUUGCUAUAAAAUGCAUUUAUACACUUAUUAUUACCUUUUUCUAUUUAAAAUGUGACAUUGUUCUUAAAAUUUCAAUAUGUUCAGUUAGUGGUCUAAUGUCUGUUUUGACGGCUACUUUUCAAUGCAUUAACCUGCUGUUUUUAGACUACUGUUGUAUCUACGCAGAUCCUGUACAAAUUGAUAAAACAAUAUUACAAUAAUGGAAAUGAGAGUGUAUAAAAAAUAAAUAAUAAUCUGUUUGUCUCAAUGACGUCAUGAUGAGAAUGACGUCAGGAUAACGUUACGUCAUCUUAUUGUUAAUUUGAAAAAGGCAAUAUGCCGAAACAUGUCAUUAUUAAAUAACUGAACUGUUGGUAGUAGUUUUAUUAUUUAUUUAUUUUUAAAUGUAAUUUUGUUAUAAUUCGACUUCAUUAGAAGACUAAUUACUACCAUAGUCGUAUCUUCAGAUCCAGUUCUACAGGUUAUUUUUCUUAUUUAUACCAUGACAAACAGGAAUACUUUCAAUACGGAACAGGAACUAUUACAAUUAGUCAAUAAGCAGCUAAAACAUCACCUCCACAAAUACAAAUUUCUUUGCAAAUCUGCCAGAACCCAUGAGAGAUGGGUGGGAGAUGAUCUUCAGUGGAACACCGAAGGCUUCUAGUAAACAUUUUACAGUACAACUGCAACAUCAUGUGGAUUUACACCUGGUUAUGGAUGUGCGGUUUGACGCCGUUAACAUGGUAAACAAAGUCGUGUUCAACUCCAGAAUCAACCAGGCAUGGGGUAAACAGGUCGUUGUCAACUCGUUUCCGUUUCUAGUCGGACAGACGUUUGAAAUCAGAGUAAAACUUGCGGGAAAUGGGCUUGUGGUCACCGUUGAUGGAAUAUCUCUUAUCAACUUUCCCGUGACGUCACCAGAAGUGAUUUCGAAAGUCCAUAUCCUCUUUGACACUACAAUUAUCUGGUUGAAAUUCGUCUAUUCAUGAAUAUUCAUGAAUUUGCCUCAGAGCAUACGUUCAAUUCACAACACCUUGCAUAAUCGCCAAGUGUUGGGGGUUUUCUCCUUUUUUUCUGUUAUCACUGUUUGGGAGCGACAAUAUUAACAUCAAAUAUUAUAUUUACAGUUUGAAAAUACAGAAAAAAAAAUCAAUAUAAACAACUUUAAAAUAUGUCUUUUUAAUAUUGAAAAAUAUAAUCUUUUUCAAAAUUAUAACUAUCAAACAUUCCAUAAACAAUGGACCCCUUGGCUUGACCUUUUUAUUUGAACUUUUUAUCACCAACAGAAAAAACCCUAAAUGAAAACAACUAGCUUGUUUGAAAAUAGAUUUAAAAAAAAAAAAUCUUUUUCACACCAUAUCCGCUCCCCUCAAUCCUGUUCUCCUUUCGUUUCCUUUUUUUUGUUAAAUUAUAUCAUAUAUAUGUGGUCAUUCUACAGAAAGUGUCACUUUUAUGUCCCUGUACAAUUUCUUUUUUAUUUAUAUAUAAAAAACUAAAUUUGUUGUCUCUAACAAUACCUUAUUAAUAAUAUCAUCCUGUUAUAGCAUUUUAUUUCUCUCUGGUUAUCAGCUUUGAUAGAGAUUUUAUUCGAAAUUAGCGUAAAAUGUCAUUGGUGUUACCUGUCUCUAGCAUAACACUAUACAUAACAUGCACUGCUAAAAUAUAUAACAGAAGACAUGACACUGAAUACCUUUAAUGUAAUACGUACUGAUGGCUGACUUACUCACUAAAGAUUCUUGUAAAUAUUUUCCGUAUUCAAAAGAUGGUGGGCAAUAUAAGCUUGUCCUUGGAGUUUUAUGUCAUUGGUGUUACUGUAGCCUAUAUACUUAUGAGUAAACAAAAGAAAAUAAAUGCUCUCUGGAUGAAACAUUCCACCGGUAGAUGUCGCCCAUCGAAUUUACUUCUCAAAAACAUCAGACAUAUGAACAGUUGUGAAUAGUUUUCUUUAACUGUCAUGAAUGUGUGUUGUCAAAAUAUAAAAGUAGGUUUAUUCACUGUCAUUGGUUUUACGAUCGUAUUUAUGUAAUGGUUAAUAAUUUUAAGAAACUUUUUGUAUGUUAGUGUAGACAUCGUAUGUCUGCUACAGCAUGCACUUUUUCAGUUUUGUCAACUGUUUCUUUAGAUAGCAUGAAUUAAUUAUGCUCUUAUUUGUCAUUGGUGUUACCUGUCAUUGGUGUUACCAAUGACCAUUAGUAACACCAAUGACAAUGCGUUUGAAUAAGACGCCGUUUUCCUCGCUUUGCAUAUUUUUGAAGAUGAUUUGAAAAUUAAAGGGACUUGUGCAGCAGCAUAAUAAAUAUUUUGGUGGACUGUAAAGAGUAUAUCUUCAACGUCCCUAACUGCGUUAUGCUUGGUUCGCGCAAUUAACAUCCGAGUUGUUGCCGUCUGCUUGUCGUUCAUUUGUGAGGUUUUUCUUCACAGUUAAGUGAAGAUUCCCAUUAACAAUAAAGUUCAGACAAGUAAGUAUCUAAAUACAAAACUUU
rnacentral:lncRNA from 1 species